UACGUAGGGGGCAAGCGUUUGUCCGGAAUUAUUGGGCGUAAAGAGCUCGUAGGCGGUCUGUUGCGUCCGCUGUGAAAACUCGGGGCUUAACCCCGAGCCUGCAGUGGAUACGGGCAGACUAGAGGUAGGUAGGGGAGAAUGGAAUUCCCGGUGUAGCGGUGAAAUGCGCAGAUAUCGGGAGGAACACCGGUGGCGAAGGCGGUUCUCUGGGC
rnacentral:rRNA from 1 species